CCCCACUACAAAAGUCUUACCCAUAAAAGCUUCACCAACAAAAGCUUCACCCACAAAAGCUUCACCUACAAAGCUUCAACACAAAAGCUUCACCUACAAAAGGUUCACACUAUCUUGAUCAAGAUAGUGUGAAGCAAAAUCAAUUCAUGGUACCCAACAAAGCUUCAACCUCAAAGCUUCACCUACAAAGCUUAAACACCA
rnacentral:lncRNA from 1 species